UGCAAGUCGAGCGGUAGCACAGGGAGCUUGCUCCUGGGUGACGAGCGGCGGACGGGUGAGUAAUGUCUGGGAAACUGCCUGAUGGAGGGGGAUAACUACUGGAAACGGUAGCUAAUACCGCAUAACGUCUCACGACCAAAGAGGGGGACCUUCGGGCCUCUUGCCAUCAGAUGUGCCCAGAUGGGAUUAGCUAGUAGGUGGGGUAAUGGCUCACCUAGGCGACGAUCCCUAGCUGGUCUGAGAGGAUGACCAGCCACACUGGAACUGAGACACGGUCCAGACUCCUACGGGAGGCAGCAGUGGGGAAUAUUGCACAAUGGGCGCAAGCCUGAUGCAGCCAUGCCGCGUGUAUGAAGAAGGCCUUCGGGUUGUAAAGUACUUUCAGCGAGGAGGAAGGCAUUGUGGUUAAUAACCGCAGUGAUUGACGUUACUCGCAGAAAAAACACCGGCUAACUCCGUGCCAGCAGCCGCGGUAAUACGGAGGGUGCAAGCGUUAAUCGGAAUUACUGGGCGUAAAGCGCACGCAGGCGGUCUGUCAAGUCGGAUGUGAAAUCCCCGGGCUCAACCUGGGAACUGCAUUCGAAACUGGCAGGCUAGAGUCUUGUAGAGGGGGGUAGAAUUCCAGGUGUAGCGGUGAAAUGCGUAGAGAUCUGGAGGAAUACCGGUGGCGAAGGCGGCCCCCUGGACAAAGACUGACGCUCACGUGCGAAAGCGUGGGGAGCAAACAGGAUUAUAUACCCUGGUAGUCCACGCCGUAAACGAUGUCGACUUGUAGGUUGUUCCCUUGAGGAGUGGCUUCCGGAGCUAACACGUUAAGUCGACCGCCUGGGGAGUACGGCCGCAAGGUUAAAACUCAAAUGAAUUGAC
rnacentral:rRNA from 1 species